GCUUGGUUGCUCUUCCUCUCUAGUAACAUGGGAGGAAACAGUCUGCUGUUCAAAUUAUCUCAUCCCAGAUGGCUGCGCAGCCGGAGUGUGGAGAGACUUAAAAGCUUCUAAUAGCAGUUCAGUGAGACCUCCAGCAAUGUGUUUAGUAUUCAAACUAUUCUGUUCACUGUGCGUGGUGUCAACAUGCA
rnacentral:lncRNA from 12 species